rnacentral:rRNA from 1 species
CUACGGGUGGCUGCAGUGAGGAAUAUUGCACAAUGGGGGGAACCCUGAUGCAGCAACGCCGCGUGGAGGAUGACGCAUUUCGGUGUGUAAACUCCUUUUAUAUGUCAAGAAAAUGACGGUAGCAUAUGAAUAAGCACCGGCUAACUCCGUGCCAGCAGCCGCGGUAAUACGGAGGGUGCAAGCGUUACUCGGAAUCACUGGGCGUAAAGGACGCGUAGGCGGGUUGGAAAGUCAGGUGUGAGAUCCCACAGCUUAACUGUAGAACUGCACUUGAAACUUCUAAUCUAGAGUAUGGGAGGGGGAGAUGGAAUUAGUGGUGUAGGGGUAAAAUCCGUAGAUAUCACUAGGAAUACCUAAAGCGAAGGCGAUCUCCUGGAACAUUACUGACGCUAAGGCGUGAAAGCGUGGGGAGCAAACAGGAUUAGAUACCCCCGUAGUC